CAUAAUUCCUGGACCAGAAAGGCAAGCAAAGCGGCCAUCGAGGAGAGCAACUGGGUUGGGUUGCCCUUAUUCCGAUGGAUACCACGCCGUCGCCGGAGAUCCUGACGCCGACAACCGGAAGUGAAUCGGAGGAGGAAGAUAUCGUGAUGAGCGAUGUUCACUUGGGUUGCCCGCCGAACUUCUCUGGGCCGUACAUUUCCCGCUUCACCUUCUCACUUCCACCUGUCAAAGCUGAAGCAAUAUCAAAGCAGCAACUUGUUACAUUGGAUGGAGAUGGUGAUCUUGUCAUAACUCGACGGAGUAGGCAAUGCAAGGAUACUUAUGUUGUUAGGGUCCAGCAUAGUAUCACUUCAACAAUUCCUAGUGUUGGUCUGCAGGUAUGGAGAGCAGAAUUGGCACUAGCUGAUUUUGUGUUGCAUAAGAUGGUUACAUCAUCUGAAUUUGAUGGAAUUGUUGCAAUAGAACUUGGUGCAGGGACAGGGUUGGUUGGCAUAUUGCUUGCACGUGUUGCUAAAACUGUCUUCCUGACAGACAAUGGUGAUGAAGUACUUGACAACUGUGCUACCAAUGUUUGUCUCAACUCCGAAUUGUUCCACUCCCAAGCUUUAGUUUGUGUUCGUGAACUUGAUUGGAAAGGUUCCUGGCCUCCUAAUUUGGUAGAAAACUCUGCAUCUCUAAAACGGCAUGCUUGGACCUCAGCAGAAGUUGAAGAAAUCCAGAGAGCUUCUCUCAUUGUGGCUGCUGAUGUUAUUUAUAGUGAUGACCUGACUGAUGCAUUCUUCAACACUUUAGAGAGACUUAUGGCGCAUAGACCAGAAAAGGUGGCGUACUUGGCAUUGGAAAAACGAUACAACUUCACUGUGGAUGACCUUAACGUCAUUGCAAAUGGGUACUCACAUUUUCGAACCUAUCUACAUGAUGGAGAUUGCGAUGAUGAUAACGGUAGAAGUAGACCUUGGCGUUGCUUCGUUGGCGAGUGCAUUGAUCUUACACAGAUUCCGCAGUACUUGAGAGAGUACGACAGAGGAGAUGAUGUUGAGAUUUGGCAGAUCAAAUUUUGUAGGUUGACAUCAUUUUGACGGUAGGAGUUGUGGUAGAUGAUUCUACUUCAUUCACUCUAGACGUGCUCCGGCUACAGCACAUGCAUCUCAUCUCAUGGGUUGAGUAUAGGGAAGUUAAUAUCCCUUUCGUAUGUAAAGUGAGAAAUUUUGAAUAUUGAAAAUAUGUAAUGGAUUUAUUUCUUGGUGGGCACUUCAAUAUCAGUUAAUGAAAAUGCAUUUAUUUUGUAGUGUAUAUAAGGUUGUUAAAUGUUUGAAGGAUUAUGUGUAUAGUAAGACUUACUAUUCCCCGUUGGAGUUCGUGGCUUCUAGGGGGAUGGUGCCAGUCACGAUCUCGGAUUUUUGGUUGUGACAAACUAGGACCGAGAGAGAAAGAGACCGAACUUCGACUUCGAGUCUUCCUUCGACUUCGAGAGAGAGAGAGAGAGAGACCCACAAACCAAACCCUAAUCGGAACCAAAACCCUAUCAUCAGUCCGUUGCCAUUUGUAAUCUCCUCCUCACUUUUGCCUUCCGCCUCCUUUCCCUUUGUUGUCAGCCGUCGACCGACAACUAUCCUUUGCCACAAACCCCAAAUCGGAACUAAAACCCUACCGUUGGUGUCGAUAAUCUCCUUCGUCGCCUUUGCCUUCCGUUGCCGUUCCCUUUGCCGUCAGCCGUUAAUCGAAGAAUGUCCUUCUCCGUCCCCUUCGUCAGACCCACAUCGACGACCCACUCCAUUCCUUGUUUCUUCCUUUCCUUGUGCUUUGAUGACCGACCCGCACCAACAAUCGACCAUCGACAGAGGCUGAUGUACAGUUCUCGUCUCAAAAUGGCUUCAACGUCAUCAUAUUGCAAUACAUAGAAGCAAAAGCUGCUAUUACUUUUAGUGCUUUACAGGUCAUCAAACUCAUCAGUCAUCACCAUGUGAUCCAAAACCAUCUCCGUUAAGCUAUGCACAGCAUGAGCACGUAUGUGGGAGUGGGAGCCUGGGAGCCAUUUGGGGCUUCGAUUCGACAAAAAGUCAGGACCCAGUUUCAUCUUGUAAAAACUAACUUUGCCAACUGCUGAAAUGAUGCACUGCAUUGGUUUGGAGUUCAAGUGUGAAACACAAGCCACAAAGAGUAGGCAAGGAGCAUGAACUUGAAGACGAAGAUGUUGUGCAGAUUAUUAAGAAAGUGUGAUUACAGAAUAACUUCACAUCAGAUUGCAGUCCAUAUUCUUAUUUUGGAUGUUGACAAUGUCUUCAGUUGGCUGACUCGAAUUCUCUAUUCCCGGAGCUCUAGCGAGAGAUCAAUUAACAGAUUCAGAUGAUCCAUGAGAGACUGCAAAAAGAAUAAAUUACAUUUUCUCCUUACCACACUUAAUGUGGUAUAUGUGCUUACAACACCAAGACCGAAAGAAACUGAAGAAGAAAGUUUGACAAAUGCAAUGAUAAGGCAAAAAUAAGAUCAAGAUGACUACAUUUGCAAAUGCCACAUUUGCAAUGCUAUGUCAGGUGCUCUAUUUGACCAAUACCAUAGCAAGAUGACUGCAAAAGAGAUUUGUGAUGCUUUGGAGGCUAAGUACAUGUCUAAGGAUGCCACGAGUAAGAAAUUUAUAACCUCUAAAUUUUAUCAAUAUCGUAUGGUGGACAAUAGAAUAGUAAUUGAACAAUUUCAUGAAAUAGUUCACAUUUAUAACCAAUUUCAACAAUAUCACAUGAAAAUGAACGAAUUCUUUGUUGUAUCAUUCAUCAUUGAUAAACUUUCUCCUGGUUGGAAAGAUUAUAAAACGAAUCUCAAACAUAGAAGGGAUGAUCUUUCCCGUGAGGAGUUGGGCCAUCAUUUUUGAAUAAAAGAGGACUUUAAAGUUAAUAACUCUGAUAAAAACAAUGGCUAAUCUUCUAAUGUUCAUGUGGCGGAUGACAGAAAAUGUACUAAUAAAGGAAUGAAGGAAAACAAAACUCUUCAAAAAAUAGCAAGAAGAGAAAAUUUGACUCUGAAUACGAGGACUUGAAGAAGAAAAAAAUGGCCAUGUUACAAUUGUGGUAAAAUGGGCCACAUCAAAAAGGAAUGCCGCCUUUUGAAGAAGCAAAAACAAGAUGAAAACUCCAACUUCAUGGUUAUGAUAAGUGAGGUGUUCGGGAUGGAGAAUGAAAAUGAGUGGUGGAUCGAUUCGGGUGCCACUAGGCAUGUAUGUAAGAAUCGAAGUCUAUUUGCCACUUAUAAAUCUAUUGAACAUGGAAAAACCCUCUACAUGGGAAAUUCCACCAUCACAGUUGUGCUUGGAAAAUGCAACAUCAAAUUGAAAUUUACUUCUGGGAAGACUCUCGCUAUCACCGAUGUUUACCAUUUGCCGGAAGUUAGAAAGAAUCUUGUGUCCGAUGGUCUUCGUAAUAAGUUUGGUUUGAAAUUUGUAUUUGAGUCAAAUAAGUUUGUGUUGUCUAAGGGAAAUGUCUUUGUUGG